UGGGAACGUGCCCUUUGGUUCGGAACAACUCCGGGAAACUGGAGCUAAUACCGGAUAAGCCCUUCGGGGGAAAGAUUUAUCGCCAAAGGAUCGGCCCGCGUCUGAUUAGCUAGUUGGUGAGGUAAUGGCUCACCAAGGCGACGAUCAGUAGCUGGUCUGAGAGGAUGAUCAGCCACAGUUGGGACUGAGACACGGCAACAAACCUCCUACGAGAGGCAG
rnacentral:rRNA from 1 species